rnacentral:rRNA from 1 species
UACGGGAGGCAGCAGUGGGGAAUAUUGCACAAUGGGCGCAAGCCUGAUGCAGCCAUGCCGCGUGUAUGAAGAAGGCCUUCGGGUUGUAAAGUACUUUCAGUCGUGAGGAAGGUGUUAAGGUUAAUAACCUUAGCAAUUGACGUUAGCGACAGAAGAAGCACCGGCUAACUCCGUGCCAGCAGCCGCGGUAAUACGGAGGGUGCGAGCGUUAAUCGGAAUUACUGGGCGUAAAGGGCACGCAGGCGGUUAAUUAAGUUGGAUGUGAAAUCCCCGGGCUUAACCUGGGAAUGGCAUUCAAGACUGGUUAGCUAGAGCCUUGUAGAGGGGGUAGAAUUCCAUGUGUAGCGGUGAAAUGCGUAGAGAUGUGGAGGAAUACCGGUGGCGAAGGCGGCCCCUGGGACAAAGACUGACGCUCAUGUGCGAAAGCGUGGGGAGCAAACGAGGAUUAGAUACC